rnacentral:rRNA from 1 species
GAUGAACGCUGGCGGCGUGCCUAAUACAUGCAAGUCGAACGCAUUGAGAAAAGUGCUUGCACUUUUCAAUUUGAGUGGCGAACGGGUGAGUAACACGUGGGCAACCUACCUGAUAGCGGGGGAUAACGAGUGGAAACAUUCGCUAAUACCGCAUAACAAUAGAGAAGGCAUCUUCUUUAUUUAAAAGGCGCUUUCAAGCGUCACUAUCAGAUGGGCCCGCGGUGCAUUAGUUAGUUGGUGGGGUGAAGGCUUACCAAGACGAUGAUGCAUAGGCGAGUUGUGGAACGGAUCGGACACAUUGGGACUGAGACACGGCCCAAAGUCCUACGGGAGGCUGCAGUAGGGAAUCUUCCACAAUGGACGAAAGUCUGAUGGAGCAACGCCGCGUGUGUGAUGAAGGCUUUCGGGUCGUAAAGCACUGUUGUAUGGGAAGAAAUGCUAGGCUAGGAAAUGAGCUUAGUUUGACGGUACCAUACCAGAAAGGGACGGCUAAAUACGUGCCAGCCGCCGCCGUAA